GUGAACGCUGGCGGUAGGCCUAACACAUGCAAGUCGAACGGCAGCACAGUAAGAGCUUGCUCUUACGGGUGGCGAGUGGCGGACGGGUGAGGAAUACAUCGGAAUCUACUUUUUCGUGGGGGAUAACGUAGGGAAACUUACGCUAAUACCGCAUACGACCUACGGGUGAAAGCAGGGGAUCUUCGGACCUUGCGCGAUUGAAUGAGCCGAUGUCGGAUUAGCUAGUUGGCGGGGUAAAGGCCCACCAAGGCAACGAUCCGUAGCUGGUCUGAGAGGAUGAUCAGCCACACUGGAACUGAGACACGGUCCAGACUCCUACGGGAGGCAGUAGUGGGGAAUAUUGGACAAUGGGCGCAAGCCUGAUCCAGCCAUACCGCGUGGGUGAAGAAGGCCUUCGGGUUGUAAAGCCCUUUUGUUGGGAAAGAAAAGCAGCAGGUUAAUACCCCGCUGUUCUGACGGUACCCAAAGAAUAAGCACCGGCUAACUUCGUG
rnacentral:rRNA from 1 species